rnacentral:rRNA from 1 species
GUGCCAGCCGCCGCGGUAAUACGUAGGUGGCAAGCGUUGUCCGGAUUUACUGGGCGUAAAGGAUGCGUAGGCGGAUAUUUAAGUCAGAUGUGAAAUUCCCGAGCUUAACUUGGGAGCUGCAUUUGAAACUGGGUAUCUAGAGUGUGGGAGAGGAAAGUGGAAUUCCUAGUGUAGCGGUGAAAUGCGUAGAGAUUAGGAAGAACCCCAGUGGCGAAGGCGACUUUCUGGACCAUAACUGACGCUGAGGCAUGAAAGCGUGGGGAGCAAACAGGAUUAGAUACCCGCGUAGUCC